rnacentral:lncRNA from 1 species
CAUCAGCAUCUAGCCAAUUCCCCUUUAAGUCGGUAGGCAAACUCCUGAUUGAUGAUGAGAUGUGCAGCUGGGACUGUGCACAGCCAGGUAAAGAAGUGCUGUUGAGAUGUGGGUCUCUGGGGCACAUGAAAAGCAUGUAGAGCUUUCCUCACUGUUAUCUAUGUUGGUCUUCUGCCCUUCAGCCACAUGAACAACACCAGGAGCCUGACUGCUGGUGGGUCAUGUUGCAGGCUGGGAGCAGAACGCUUUUAAAAUGAAUAACUUUAAUAAUGUUGAAUGUUAUCUGUUGUGUUUUUCUGGGUGGUUCUCUACCCCAGCCACUGUCCCGAACUGGUGAUGGUGUCUGUGUAUAGCAAUGUCUAGCAUAAACUUAUUGGAGAAGUCAAUAGCUGCUUGAGUAUGCUGGGAGCCUGAAGUUUCUGUGUAACUGGAGUAGAUUUCUGUGCAACCCAUAUGCACAGACUAUGGCAAGAGAGUGAAUGGGAGGAAACCUGACCAAACCAUGGGAUAAAUCCUGCUGUGUUUGAGACAUGUAUAUCUGCUAAAGUGAAUGAGAAAUCAGUCACAAAUUUCAUCUCACUGGAGGCAGUUAAGGAAAACUAAGCAUUUGGAGAGCAUGUGCAUUCUUUCAAGGUUUCCCUCAACUGACCAUGCACAUUUUCUUAAAAGGGGAAAACACGAUCAGUACAGCUUGCAGCCAGACAUGGAGGCAUACAUGGAGACCUAACCAACUUAAGAGUCUUUGUGUGUGGAAGGAAUACAACUGCUGCCUCAGUAGACCAACCACACCAAGAAUAUGUGAAGGGAAUCAUGUUUCCAUUUUGCAGAUGGGAAAUGGAGACUAAAUGGUAUGGCCAAAGUCACACUCAGAAGCUGUGCUGGAACAGCACAUUAAACUGAAAUUUCUCAUAUUUGACAAGGUGUCCUAACCACAAGACCUUCAUCUUGUCAUAAUUAAACAAGGCUUAUUUAGUAUUUAGCAAAACACUAUACUUCGGGCUGUUGUAUGACCUUUCACAAUGCAUUGCUUUUACUGGUUUAACUUCAGAAACCCAUCUGUAGUUUUCAUUUAGGACACUGAUUUUUCAGACUUUUCCAUGAAACAAACAAACAAACAAACAAAAAACCCGGAGAAAUAUCAAUAUGCAAUAUUAUAUGGAUUUAAUAACCUAUUGCUCUGAGAUUGUUUUCAGUUGUUGUCUAUGAAAAGUUUAGAUUUUUUAAUAUGGAUUUUUUUAAGAAGUCUUUUAAAGGAGUAUAAAGCCUAAUCCUAUAUUCUGGUGUAUAUUUUCAUUUCAGUACACCUGCUGCAAUUUAGAUUAUGGGUGACACCAAGGACUAGCGAUCAAUCUCACAUCUUUACUAUCUUCUCUUUAGCCACAGUGAUAUUUUUUAAGCACCUUGUCUCUACAGGACAUUUGACUGAAGUUUUGAUAUCGAG